UGUUGAAGAGCUGAAGAACACGCUGCAGCUCUGAACUCCUGUGAGGGAACAUCACCAAGUCACUGGUUCAGAUACGUGUGAUUGUUCCAACUACAGCUGAGAAGAUCUGAGACUCUUCAUCACUAGAACUGAGGAAGACUUUCAGAUACCAUGAAGAAACGGUUCAGGAACAGAGAAACAAAGUCCAGUUGGUUCCAGGAUGAAGAAUGUUGAACACAUGUUGGUCAUCAAGAUCCAGGAAAUGUGUUGGAAGUUGGUGAGUUUUUCCAGAUGUGUCCUGCUGGAACCCAGAGCUCUAACCAACAGGCUGGUUCUGAAACACUGACUUGCUGUUUGUAAGAACCCACUGAUACCAUGCUGAGCUGCCUCUGUUCAGUCUGUAUGAAGCACCAAAGAGGAGCAGCAGCAGCUUCAUGACCACGUCUUCUUUGGCCUGAUAUAGUGUGAACGCUGUGUGAAAAGGGCUAUGGACAGUUAGAGAUGGUGAUCUCACCUCUGACCUUUGCUCUGGCUCUCAUGUUUCCCACACAGAGUGGUUUUAGAGGGAGGGACUCCCUCCUCUCUGUCCUCACACUGAUCCAUGCUGCUGAAUUCACAUCCACAUCAGCUCACACACACUUUCUAACUUCACCUGCAGAGGAAACACAAAUCAUUCAUCUGAACAUCAACUCUGAUCAUCCUUUACAUCAUCUGUGCUGGAAAAAGAUCAGCUGCUCCUCCUCUGAUUGGCUCUUCUUCUCUGCUUCAUAUCAGUGUCAGUUGAAUGCAGUCAGACAGCAGUGUGAGGCAGCUGCUGUACUUCUACUAUCAGUCCACUAGAUGGAGUCAUGGAGCAACAUUUCAUUCACUCUGACUGAACAUCAGGAACUAUUUUAUUUCACAAUCAUCAAACUCUACAAGUGGAUUAUCUGCUCCAUCAAAGCUGAAACAUUAAAUAAUCUGAGUGAAUCAAACACA